rnacentral:rRNA from 1 species
ACUUCACAAGAAUGGGAAGAAUAAGUCGGGGUUAAUACCCCCGAUGAUGACGGUACCAUUUGUAAGCUCCGGCUAACUCCGUGCCAGCAGCCGCGGUAAUACGGGGGGAGCAAGCGUUGUUCGGAUUUACUGGGCGUAAAGGGCGCGUAGGCGGCGCAACAAGUCACUUGUGAAAUCUCCGGGCUUAACCCGGAGCGGUCAAGUGAUACUGUCGUGCUAGAGUGCGGAAGGGGCAACUGGAAUUCUCGGUGUAGCGGUGAAAUGCGUAGAUAUCGAGAGGAACACCUGCGGCGAAGGCGGGUUGCUGGGCCGACACUGACGCUGAGGCGCGAAAGCCAGGGGAGCGAACGGGAUUAGAUACCCCGGUAGUCCUGGCCUUAAACGAUGGAUGCUUGGUGUCCGGGGUUAUAAAGUCCCCGGGUGCCGUCGCUAACGCUUUAAGCAUCCCGCCUGGGGAGUACGCACGCAAGUGUGAAACUCAAAGGAAUUGACGGGGACCCGCACAAGCGGUGGAGCAUGUGGUUUAAUUCGACGCAACGCGAAGAACCUUACCUGGGCUAGAAUGCCCCUGACAGCCGUAGAGAUACGGUCUUCCGGGUAAAACCGGACAGGGUGCAAGG